GAUGAGCGCUGGCGGCGUGCCUAAUACAUGCAAGUCGAGCGAAUGGAUUAAGAGCUUGCUCUUAUGAAGUUAGCGGCGGACGGGUGAGUAACACGUGGGUAACCUGCCCAUAAGACUGGGAUAACUCCGGGAAACCGGGUCUAAUACCGGAUAACAUUUUGAACCGCAUGGUUCGAAAUUGAAAGGCGGCUUCGGCUGUCACUUAUGGAUGGACCCGGGUCGCAUUAGCUAGUUGGUGAGGUAACGGCUCACCAAGGCAACGAUGCGUAGCCGACCUGAGAGGGUGAUCGGCCACACUGGGACUGAGGCACGGCCCAGACUCCUACGGGAGGCAGCAGUAGGGAAUCUUCCGCAAUGGACGAAAGUCUGACGGAGCAACGCCGCGUGAGUGAUGAAGGCUUUCGGGUCGUAAAACUCUGUUGUUAGGGAAGAACAAGUGCUAGUUGAAUAAGCUGGCACCUUGACGGUACCUAACCAGAAAGCCACGGCUAACUACGUGCCAGCCGCCGCAGUAA
rnacentral:rRNA from 1 species